rnacentral:rRNA from 1 species
GAUGAACGCUGGCGGCGUGCCUAAUACAUGCAAGUCGAGCGAACAGACGAGGAGCUUGCUCCUCUGACGUUAGCGGCGCACGGGUGAGUAACACGUGGAUCACCUCCUUAUAAGACUGGGAUAAUUUCGGGAAACCGGAGCUAAUACCGGAUAAUAUCUUGCACCGCAUGGUUCAAUAGUGAAAGACGGUUUUGCUGUCUCUUAUAGAUGGAUCCGCGCCGCAUUAGCUAGUUGGUAAGGUAACGGCUUACCAAGGCAACGAUGCGUAGCCGACCUGAGAGAGUGAUCGGCCACACUGGAGGGGGAACACGGUCCAGACUCCUGCGGGAGGCAGCAGUAGGGAAUCUUCCGCAAUGGUCGAGAGCUUGACGGAGCAAGGCGGCGUGAGUGAUAAAGGUCUUCGGAUCGUAAAACUCUGUUAUUAGGGGAGAACAGAUGUGUAAGGAACUAUGCACGUCGUGACGGUACCUGAUCAGAAAGCCACGGCUAACUACGUG